CCUACGGGUGGCAGCAGUGAGGAAUAUUGGUCAAUGGGCGAGAGCCUGAACCAGCCAAGUCGCGUGAGGGAGUACUGCCCUAUGGGUUGUAAACCUCUUUUGUCGGGGAGCAAAAGCCGGACGUGUCCGGCUGUGAGAGUACCCGAAGAAAAAGCCCCGGCUAACUACGUGCCAGCAGCCGCGGUAAUACGUAGGGGGCGAGCGUUAUCCGGAUUCACUGGGUGUAAAGGGAGCGUAGACGGCCAAGCAAGCCAGGGGUGAAAGCCCGGGGCCCAACCCCGGGACUGCCCUUGGAACUGCAUGGCUGGAGUGCGGGAGGGGCAGGCGGAAUUCCUGGUGUAGCGGUGAAAUGCGUAGAUAUCAGGAGGAACACCGGCGGCGAAGGCGGCCUGCUGGACCGCGACUGACGUUGAGGCUCGAAAGCGUGGGGAGCGAACAGGAUUAGAUACCCCUGUAGUC
rnacentral:rRNA from 1 species